GUUAGUGGUAGUUAUGCAGAAAAGUAUGUUGUGCUUUAGCAAGUUUGUGAAAGUUAAUAUAAUACUAAAUUAAACAAGUCUUUUCAAAAAAAAAAAAAAAAGAAAGAAAGAAAAAACCAAGUCUUUGUCUUUUCAGAGCUUUUAUUGAUGAUGUUUGUAGUAAAUUGCCAGGAAUGAAGAUACCUAAGUGACGCUAAAAACAAUUUUAUGGAUGAUCUUGUAAGGCUGUUUUCCUGUAGAGCACAUUUUGAGAGUCCUGGUAAAAUUGAUGACAUGCGCAGGCUGAGGUCAAAUUCAAGCUCUACCACCUAGAGUUUAAUGAAACCUAAAAGAUGUCCAUGCUUAUUUUGCAUUCUGGGAUAUGAGGUCCUGAGAAAUCAAAUCCUGAGGUUCCUGGGUCUGAGAACCCAGACUGGGCUAAGAGGAUCUUGUUCUCUGAUCGGUGGACUUGUUCUAGGAAUGUGA
rnacentral:lncRNA from 12 species